AUACUUACCUGACGGGGGAAAUACCGUGACCACCAAGGUGGUUUUCCUACUGGCAGGGGAAAACUACAAACGUGGCAUAGGGUAGUACCCUGAACAAAGUAAUGCCAUUAAAACGGCACUGUGUAGUGGAGGGUUGUACCCUUGUUUGCUUGCAGACAGGACU
rnacentral:snRNA from 1 species